rnacentral:rRNA from 1 species
GACAGAGGGUGCUAGCGUUGUUCGGAAUGACUGGGCGUAAAGGGCGCGUAGGCUGUUAAUCAAGUUAGAUGUGAAAGCCCCAGGCUUAACCUGGGAACUGCAUUUAAUACUGGUUGACUGGAGAGCGAGAGAGGAAAGGCGGAAUUCCUAGUGUAGAAGUGAAAUCUGUAGAUAUUAGGAGGAACACCAGAGGCGAAGGCGGCUUUCUGGCUCGCAACUGACGCUGAGGCGCGAAAGCGUGGGGAGCAAACAGG